GGUGGGCGGGAAGGAAGGCGUGGUCCAAUUGAAAAAAGAAAAAAAUCCGAAAUUCGAUCUUUAUUUUUUAGGUAUAUGUACAUAGUUUCAUGUUUCUAUCUUCAAAAAUGGUAAAAAUGCCGCAAUUCGGGACUUUUUGCCCAUAGUGCAAUCUGCCUAUUAAGUGUUUCUUUCAAAAUACUAGAGGGACUAGUGAAACAAAGAAUGUAGGAGCACACUCGCACUAACUCGAUAAUCGCAGAGAGAGCAUAUGCUUUUCGACGUCGUAGAUCUACAGCAUUGUGCAUCAACGUUCUAAUCAAUAAAGUUCAAUCGCUAAAGUCAAAGCAAUACUAAGUUUUAGUAGCAUGUCUAGACCUCAAGAAAGAAUUUGACUCCGUGAACAUACUCCAGAGUAAGCUUAACAAAUUGGGUUUUUGUGGGUAGUCGAUUGGAUUGCAAGCUUUGUAUGUGGAAUUGACAAAGCACUCGAAUUUGGUCUAUCCAAAAAUCUGCCUCGUGCCGCUAUUCUUACGGACAGCAGAAUUAGAAUAGAAUAGAACCAUCAAUCAUGCAAAAUGAGCCACGACAAUCAUAUCACAUUCAACAUGAUCGAUAAAAUAAUCUGGUAUCCCAUUACAUUCCGGGACACUCAAACAUUCCAAAAAACGUAAACUGAAAUGUUGGUAAACUGGAAGAGGAGUAGAGCUGCAAAAACAUCGGAGCCAACAUCGAUACAUCGAAGAGAGAGUGCUCCUUUGGAAUUUUGGAAAUGCUCCCAAGAUGACAAUGGCCUAAAACCACUCGCUCGUCGAUUUCUAUGUGUCCCAGCCACAUCAGUCGAAUCUGAAAGGCUCUUCAGGAAAGCUGAACAGCUAAUAUCAGAGCGUAGAGCAGCGCUAAAGGCAAAACACUUUGUUACGGACUUUUUGUCCUCCCUGGGGUCGCGCCGGCUGGCUCAUCGGUAUUCAGGUUGAGUUUCGUCGAUAACUCCACCGAUACAAAACAGCUGCUUUAAGACGGAAGAAACGCAUCACUAAUAGAAAAACAAAACAGCUGCCGCGCAAUUGAAAAUUGCGCUAAACAAAAGGAGAUACAAAAAAAACCUAUUGACGACGGGCCCAGUUGGACCCCGGUGUACCUACCCUGCCUGAGAUGGCCACAUCGGCGCCAUCUCCCUUGCGUUGGCCACCACGUCAGUGGCCGCUCCUCAUCUGGCGUAGCGCUGCGGAUUUCCCCUCCCCACCAUGCUGAGAAAACUCACACAACCAUGUUCAAGAUAACAAACAAAUAUUUGGACUCUAGAAUGGCAAAGGAGCAAGAUUAAAAAAAAUCACGCAGUAGGACGAGAGAAACCACCAUAUAGCCGCAACGGCGUAAAGGACAACUUCUUUUACAUGUAACGCAUCCGGGCGGUUCGUAUAUAUUUAUUUACCAGUUUAUAUGCGCAUGUUUUUAUAUAAGUAUUUAUCUAAGUCGAUUUAUUGUCAACCUUAACCUACCUAAGAGCUCUUGGGAUUGGUGAAGGGGCGAUAUGGGUUAUAAUAGAUAAAAUGUGUGUAUAUAUAAAUUAGUAAACAUAAUCAUAUAAUCCCGCAGCAAGUAGAUUUUUAAGAAUGUAUGUAUGUACAUAUGUAUGAAGGUGUUUUGUCGCCCCUACUCUGUCAUUUGCACAAGAAAAUAGUUGUUUAUCUACUUUAAUUUAAUUUGAAUUUUAAUUUACUUCACAAAAUUUAUAAUUUACUGAUAAGGUCGGCAGAAAACAAGUAAGAAAGUUACAGUCGAGUGUGCUCGCCUGUGAGAUACCCGCUUCCCAAAUUUAAUAAAGCCAAAAUAUUGCGGUAUCAUUUUCAAAAUAUACCGAAAAUACUAAAAAAAUACUAAAAAUAUACCGAAUGAUA